CGGAAGGCUGACGCGGGCGCGCGUAUCGCCAAUCCGGUCAGGGCCGAGAGGCAGCAGCCGUAACGAAUUUCGCCGGGUCGUGUUCAGCCUUCCACCU
rnacentral:SRP_RNA from 1 species